rnacentral:rRNA from 1 species
CACGUAGGAGCCAAGCGUUAUCCGAAUUCACUGGGCGUAAAGCGCGUGCAGGCGGCACGGCAAGUUGGAUGUGAAAGCUCCUGGCUCAACUGGGAGAGGACGUUCAAUACUGUCGAGCUAGAGGACGGCAGAGGGAGGUGGAAUUCCCGGUGUAGUGGUGAAAUGCGUAGAUAUCGGGAGGAACACCAGUGGCGAAGGCGGCCUUCUGGGCCGUACCUGACGCUCAGACGCGAAAGCUAGGGGAGCAAACGGG